GAUGAACGCUGGCGGCGUGCUUAACACAUGCAAGUCGAACGGUGAAGCAGAGCUUGCUCUGUGGAUCAGUGGCGAACGGGUGAGUAACACGUGAGCAACCUGCCCCUGACUCUGGGAUAAGCGCUGGAAACGGCGUCUAAUACUGGAUAUGAGCUGCGACCGCAUGGUCAGCAGUUGGAAAGAUUUUUCGGUCUGGGAUGGGCUCACGGCCUAUCAGCUUGUUGGUGAGGUAAUGGCUCACCAAGGCGUCGACGGGUAGCCGGCCUGAGAGGGUGACCGGCCACACUGGGACUGAGACACGGCCCAGACUCCUACGGGAGGCAGCAGUGGGGAAUAUUGCACAAUGGGCGAAAGCCUGAUGCAGCAACGCCGCGUGGGGGAUGACGGCCUUCGGGUUGUAAACCUCUUUUAGCAGGGAAGAAGCGAAAGCGACGGUACCUGCAGAAAAAGCGCCGGCUAACUACGUG
rnacentral:rRNA from 1 species